rnacentral:tmRNA from 1 species
GGGGGCGUAUGGAUUCGACGGGGGUUAUGAGGCUUAGGCAGCAUGUCGUGUUUCCGCGGUCACGUAAAAAAGCGGAAAAACUUACAAAAGCCAACGACGAACUGGCACUUGCCGCUUAAAUAAGCGGCACGCAUUCCUGGGGAGGUCUGCUACCUUGGAUAUGCGUCAUAAAGCGGGCUGGCGGCUGAUGAGGUCCCUGCAUCAGGCGUGAGAUCAUAGGGAAUACGGGUACGGUGAGCCUGUCUGUUGGCGCUAAAAUACCCAAGAGCUAAAAAACAGACUAAGCAUGUAGCGGCUUAAGAGUAGUGCUUUCGGACGCGGGUUCGAUUCCCGCCGCCUCCACCA